UACCCCCAAAUCUCAUUCUUCCUCCUAACCUAAAUCCGCCGCCGCCGCCGCCGCCGCUCGAGCUCUCUCUCGCCGUCCAGCUACGUGCUUUUCGGCCGGCGAGGCUGUGACCCCCUCUCCCACUUGUUCCCCAGCGUCUCCACCGUCGACCCCACACCAUUCUGUUCCUCGGUGAGUGCUCUCUCCGGCCAACCUCCGCGCGUAAGCUUCCAGCGAGGCUGCCGCCGCCCUGCCUGGCCCGUCCUCCCCCUCUCCACCAUGGCCGUCAGAGUACAGAAGAGAUCUUGGAGGCGGCGGGAGAGGGCUCGGGAUAGGGUUAAUGAAGGGCUUCAUAUAGAGAGGAGAAAAGAGGUCCUCGGCUCCUUCCCCUUCGGCCUUCCCCAGCCGGAUCUGCUCCCCUUCGGCCUUCCCCAGCCGGAUCUGCUCCCCUUCGCCCUUCCCCAGCCGGAUCUGCUCCCCUUCAUCCACCCUGACUCCCCGAGCUCCUCCCUCAGGAAUGUCUGAAGAGAGUUAUCCCCUAUGAGCACAUGGACAUUGCAUAAUCAGUCUUAUCAUGGGAAUAAUUUGCCUGCCUAAAGAAGGCGAAGCAAUCAGCCAAGCAAUGAAACUGGAGUUCAGUAAAGAGAAAUCUUCCAGUGACAAUCAAGAGUUGAAUCGUAGACAUUCCAAAGGAGACAAGUCAUCCAACCAUCCAGCAGAAGUGUAGACAGUUUAACGAAACCAGCACUUGAUCCGGGCAAUAAUAGCGCAUCAGUUUCAUCUAAUUCUAUACAUAAGAAGAUUAUAUGGUCGUGAAGCUCGGCGUUGACAAGAGCAUCACCCUGUAGCUGUGCGUCCUUCUCUAACAAACACUCAAAGCACUACCAUGCCGGGUUGUGGGUGCGUAUGAUUUGAAUCUGCAGUAAAGACUGGUACUGCCUCAUCGACCAAGGAUCUACGGCGACGACGGCACCAGCGACCCCAUGGAGGCAUCACCGAAACCCUAGCCGCUACUGCUCUCCCCUGAGUCCCCUCCUCAUCUCCUCCCUCGUGCGAUGUUCAAGCUGGACGAUGUGGCGAUGGAAUAUGGAUCAAUGAGACGAAGAAAGGUGUUGAUGUCAAGUAGGAGAAUGAUGGAAGGAUCUUGUGGUUAUCUAGUUGCCCACCAGUAGGAGUCAAUGUAGAUGAUGUGCCUCUAGGGCAAAUUCUAGAAACCAAAGCGACCCAUUUUUGCUCUCAAGCAAUGAACAUAUUUUGUUCCCUAUUUAAUAAGUUAAAUUAGUUUAUGGGAAAUUUGGAUGUGAAAAUUAUUGAAUGUGUGUUAUUAUUGUUUGGUUUUGGUUUA